rnacentral:rRNA from 1 species
CAGUGGGUACGGGCUAANUAGAGUGCAGUAGGGGAGACUGGAAUUCCUGGUGUAGCGGUGGAAUGCGCAGAUAUCAGGAGGAACACCGAUGGCGAAGGCAGGUCUCUGGGCUGUAACUGACGCUGAGAAGCGAAAGCAUGGGGAGCGAACAGGAUUAGAUACCCUGGUAGUCCAUGCCGUAAACGUUGGGCACUAGGUGUGGGGGNCAUUCCACGUUUUCCGCGCCGUAGCUAACGCAUUAAGUGCCCCGCCUGGGGAGUACGGCCGCAAGGCUAAAACUCAAAGAAAUUGACGGGGGCCCGCACAAGCGGCGGAGCAUGCGGAUUAAUUCGAUGCAACGCGAAGAACCUUACCAAGGCUUGACAUAUACUGGACUGCGUCAGAGAUGGCGUUUCCCUUCGGGGCUGGUAUACAGGUGGUGCAUGGUUGUCGUCAGCUCGUGUCGUGAGAUGUUGGGUUAAGUCCCGCAACGAGCGCAACCCUCGUUCUAUGUUGCCAGCACGUGAUGGUGGGGACUCAUAGGAGACUGCCGGGGUCAACUCGGAGGAAGGUGGGGAUGACGUCAAAUCAUCAUGCCCCUUAUGUCUUGGGCUUCACGCAUGCUACAAUGGCCGGUACAGAGGGUUGCGAUACUGUGAGGCGGAGCUAAUCCCUAAAAGCCGGUCUCAGUUCGGAUUGGGGUCUGCAACUCGACCCCAUGAAGUCGGAGUCGCUAGUAAUCGCAGAUCAGCAACGCUGCGGUGAAUACGUUCCCGGGCCUUGUACACACCGCCCGUCAAGUCACGAAAGUUGGUAACACCCGAAGC